UGUCUCUGUCUCUCUCUCUCCCUCCCACAACACACACACACACACACACACACACACACACACACACAGGCACUACCUAAUGUCACCACCACCACUGACACCCAGGAAAGCAUGAGUCUUCCCAGCUCCCCACGCAGCCUGCUGAGCCAUUUUCUGAGUCUGUUCCCCCUUCCCACUCCCCACCCCCACUCUGCAACAUUUGCAAAAGAGAGAAUAAAGAAUGUGUGCUCAUUCAUAACGCCCUGCCACAAAUACUCUACAUGCAGCCUGUGCCAGUCCCUGGGGAUGCAGAGGUCUGGAAGACAGAGGAAUAUGGGCUGCCUUCGAGCUUCUUUCUCCUGGGGAGCACAGAACCUGGACUGGAAAUGGCUCUCCACUCCAUCCUCAGCCUCUCCAUGUCUCUACCCCAGCCCCUGGACUACUGUGGACCUGGGGUUUUGCAGAGCCUCAGCUCCCUCUGCCAUGAGGAAGUGAAAAUCAAGAGCACCUAGUCUCUAGGGCAGCCCUCAAAGCUCGAGUCAGUGGUGGGACUCAUCUGUGAAGAAUCUUACUGGGACACAUCUGGACACACUCCACAAAAGGUGGGAUGGUACUCAACCCUGCAUUCCAGUUCUCAGAACAUCCGCAAGCAUCACAACCAGCUGCAAUUUCUUGUGUCAAGGUU